UACGAAGGGGGCUAGCGUUGCUCGGAAUUACUGGGCGUAAAGGGCGCGUAGGCGGCACUGUUAGUCAGGCGUGAAAGUCCUGGGCUCAACCUGGGAACUGCGCUUGAUACGGCAGAGCUAGAGGAUGGAAGAGGGUCGCGGAAUUCCCAGUGUAGAGGUGAAAUUCGUAGAUAUUGGGAAGAACACCGGUGGCGAAGGCGGCGACCUGGUCCAUUACUGACGCUGAGGCGCGACAGCGUGGGAGCAAACAGG
rnacentral:rRNA from 1 species